rnacentral:rRNA from 1 species
UACAGAGGGUGCAAGCGUUGUCCGGAAUCACUGGGCGUAAAGGGCGCGUAGGUGGCUUGGUAAGCGUGCGGUGAAAGCUCGGGGCUCAACCCCGAGUCUGCCAUGCGAACUGCCGAGCUUGAGCAUAGUAGAGGCAGGUGGAAUUCCGGGUGUAGCGGUGGAAUGCGUAGAUAUCCGGAAGAACACCGGUGGCGAAGGCGGCCUGCUGGGCUAUUGCUGACACUGAGGCGCGACAGCGUGGGGAGCAAACAGGAUUAGAUACCCUGGUAGUCCACGCCGUAAACGAUGGGCACUAGGUGCUUGGGGGAGCGACCCCCUGAGUGCCGUCGCUAACGCAUGAAGUGCCCCGCCUGGGGAGUACGGCCGCAAGGCUG